AUCUGAAGAGCUCCUGCAGCAGCUCUGAAAAUACAGCUUCCAUUCUUGACAUCUCAGUAGAAGGCUUUAAAAUCCUUUCUUCCUUUUUAAGUUUUGAUCUGUGCCUAAAACAGGAAGGAUGAUGCAUCUUUUCCUCACAAUUGUAAUAAAAAAGCUGUUCCCACUCCAAGGGCUGCUUCCUUGCCUCCUUACACCUGUGUGAGCACACCAGCUGCAAGACAUGAUCUAGUAAUGACCCAGUGUCUGCCUGACCCUGCUGCUGCAGCUGGCUUUUACUGAAGCUGCCUUUUCAGGGCACUGUUCUUUGUGCAGAAGUGGAGCAAAAGAAGAAAUCUGGAGGUCCCUGACAGUACCAGCACAGAGGGAACCCUGGGCUGGAGGAUUGGGUGGCUCAAGGGGCCGAGCAGAGCUUUCCACUGGACCCCAGCUCUGCUGGAAGCCAUCACUGCCUCAGCUUGGUAGAGCCACCAGGUCAGUGAUUUCCUGCCAAGAUUCUACCAGAGCCAGGAUUUUGCAGCUUGUGUUUUCCCUGUGGAACCAGGGAGGAGUUCCCAGGCAUAGUCUGACUCUGUGCUGGAGCAGCAUCACUGCUGGGAAGUCAGAUUCCCCUGGAACUGGGAUGGCACAAUUGUUCCAGAAAAGGCCUGGUCUAAAGUUAAGGGAGGUUCUCAGCAUGGGGAGGAGAGAGAAGGGCUGGGGACAGGAUACCUGGAGCAUUGUGCAGCUGGGAAAGACAAGGAAAGGGCAAUCCUGCACAUCCUGGCUCACACACGCUCCCAGGUUUAGAACAUCAGAUGACUCUUAG
rnacentral:lncRNA from 1 species